ACAGGGCAGGGUUCUGACGCUGAAGUUAGAAUAGGAUGAUUUUUAUACAAUAAAAAAUUGCUUUCCUUAAUCAUUAUCUUGGGCGCACCCCGAUCCACACACUGACGGUGCCAGGACAGUUGCCAGUUCUAAUUGAGCGCCCAACUCGGUACAGAGUGCUAAAUACGUUAGUAACAAUGCUUAUUGACUGUGCUUCGGUCCAGAAGGUGUAAAGAUUAGUGGAUUGAGGGCAGGACCCCCCCGAAACAAAAUGGAACCAGAAAGACGCUCAUUUGGACUGCACGUCAAGAUACUGCCUUGCAGGAACACGAUUGAAAAUGAGAACUAGUCGGACUGAUGGGUUCAUUCAGUUUUAUAACGGUCCCAUUUUCCAAAGCAUCAUGGUAGGAGGUCGAAGGGGAAAUGAAGAAAGCCGG
rnacentral:sRNA from 1 species